UUCUUACAACUAAAGUUCCGUUAAAAAUUCAAAGUAAUUUCGAAAUGAAUUGCUAUGACUACAUUUUAAUAAAUUAAAAAAAUAACCAUGUAUUUUACUACUACUGAUUAGAUAUUUGAUUAACAAACAAUGAAAUUUGUGGACAUUUUAAGGUGUUUAAUGAGAAACUAUAACCAAAAGAAGAUGUAAAAGAAUCAAUAAUUUAAAAAAAAUUCCAUAGAAAAAAAUGGGAAUAAAAAGGAGUUUCAUGUAUGCUGGCACUAAUAUCAAGUACAAGUUGAUUAAAAUGUAUAUGAGUAAUUAUAAUAAAAUAGUUUCAUUAUCACAUUUGAGAUGUGAGAUGUGAGUAUUUGAAUCUCUUACGCCAGCAUAAGUGAAAGUUUACCAAGUAGGCCGAGCGUCUUGAAUCCCUACCGUGUUUGAACGUUCGCCAAAUACUACUCAUCACCACUGAUUCAGUUGCUCUGUCAACUAGCGGCCUUCAGAACAUCGACUGUAUAAUAUAAUCUUGGUAAAAGCGAAUGGUCUCCUUGAAUAGACGCUGCACCAAGUCAUCAAGAUGCUCUACCGCAGAGAAUCCAAAAAUUUCUCACCAUUUCAUUUCCAUAUGACUUUUCAAUUAUUUGAUGUUUGUCGGACAUCCUAAAUUCCAAUUUCUCUUUUCACCUGUAUACGUCCCAUCCACAUUCUAUUGCCAUGACUAAUAAUUAAAAAAUUCUUCGAGUGUCAUUGGUAUUUAUUAUUCAUUCAAUAGAUUUUCAUUUUGGGAUACAAUCGGAUGUUUAUCCAAUAUUUACAUAUGCUAUUUUACCUGUAUUACUCAUCAUAAUUUCUAUUAUUUGUGCUAAUGUUUGUGAUAAAAUGAUGUAUAUUUAAAAUGCUUGAUAACUUAGAUCAUCAUGAAGUAUUUACUCAUUAGUAAAAAUGAUUGAAUGAUUAUAAUAAUGUUAUAAAUAAUAGUCAUACAAUGAGUGAACAUACUAUGUUGAAAAACACAACUUUUUUUUAAGAUAUAAUUUAUAUAAUAACAAAAGUGGAAACUCCUGCACGAACUUCACUGUAAGCUGAUAUUAUAAAUUAGAGUUUUUUCUCUAUUAAAUUUAUAUAACGAUGAUUUUAUAGGAUUAAUUGAUCAGACUUGUGAAAAAAAAAUCCU